rnacentral:rRNA from 1 species
UACGGGGGGGGCAAGCGUUGUUCGGAAUUACUGGGCGUAAAGGGCUCGUAGGCGGCCAACUAAGUCCGACGUGAAAUCCCAAGGCUUAACCUUGGAACUGCGUCGGAUACUGGAUGGCUUGAAUUCGGGAGAGGGAUGCAGAAUUCCAGGUGUAGCGGUGAAAUGCGUAGAUAUCCGGAAGAACACCGGUGGCGAAGGCGGUCUGCUGGGCAGUAGCUGACACUGAGGCGCGACAGCGUGGGGAGCAAACAGG